GACGAACGCUGGCGGCGUGCUUAACACAUGCAAGUCGAACGGAAAGGCCGUGCUUUUGUGGGGUGCUCGCGUGGCGAACGGGUGAGUAACACGUGAGUAACCUGCCCUUGACUUUGGGAUAACUUCAGGCAACUGGGGCUACUACCGGCUAGGAGCUCCUGCUGCAUGGGGGGGGUUGGAAAGUAUCGGCGGUAGGGGAUGGAGUUGCGGCUUAUCAGCUUGUUGGUGGGGUAGUUGCUUACCAAGGCUUUGACGGGUAGCCGGCAUGGGAGGGUGACCGGCGACAUUGCGACUGAGAUACGGCCCAGUCGCGUACGGUAGGCAGCAGUGGGGAAUAUUGCACAAUGGGCGGAAGCCUGAUGAAGCGAUGCCGCGAGCGGGAUGAAGGCCUUCGGGUGGUAAACCGCUGUCGCCUGUGACGAAGCGGGAGUGACGUUAAUGGGUAAAGAAGCACCGGCUAACUACGUG
rnacentral:rRNA from 1 species